AACCAAGGAGAUGCUGGCUUCCCUUCCUGAGAUGGAGCCCAGGCAUACCUUGGAGAUAUUGCCAGUUUGGUCCCAGACCACCGCAAAAAAGAGAAUAUCACAAUAAAGGACUGGUACUGUUUGUGGGUCUGGCUUUGUGCUAUGGACUGAACUCUGCCCCCCAGAACUCAUGUUGAAGCCCUAACCCCCAACGUGACCAUAUCUGGAGACAGGGUCUAUAGGAGGUAACUAAGAUUAAAGGAAGAAAGGCAUCUCUGUCUCUUUCCACCAAGUGAGGACAGAGAAGGCACCAUCUAUGAGCCACGAAGACAGUCUUCACCAGGAACCGAAUCUGCUAGCACCUUGAUCUUGGACUUCCUGCCUCCAGAAGCAAGGGUGUGAAUCUUCACCCUAUUCUGAGCCACAUCUGGGCCGACCGCG